CAAGCACACAAACAAAUCACACAAAAUUCAAAACCAAAAUAAUGUACAGUCGAACUUAUACAGUCCAAAAUAUAAAAAAACAUACGGAAAGGUAAAACCUAUUCUCUUCUAAACUAAUCCUACACUGAACUCCAACCCGCCGCCUCGGGCCUUCGUCACGAACGUCUUUCGAGUACAAAAUACUUCGGGACAUUCUCCGACGAAUAAACACAAAUACCUCAGGGCAUUCCCCGGCUAAAUGAAUACACUUCCAAAUACGACAAAAACAACAUUCAACGAAUAUUUUCAUCAUUCAAAAGUCCUAAUUUUGCCUGCCCGAGCCUACCGUUUGCCUAUCCAGCAUAACCUAUCAUGGUACUAUCACAAUCAGCAAUAUCAAUGAACCAAAACAAUAAUAUUUCAACUUAUUCGAUUAUCAAUUCCCCCAAAUCAUUCCCAAUCACAUGAUUAAUCAAUGUUGACAUAAACUCAAGCAAUCAAAGUCAUAAUCACAACGCUUAAAAUUUCUCAAACACACUAUCAAAAUAUAUCACCAACCCAACAUGAAUCAUGCAAGCCACAACAUCAAAACAUCAACUCUAUAAUAAGAUAGUAAUAGAAAGAGAUAGAGUUGAAAAUUUGGACCUCAAAUUUGACGUUUUAUUUUAAUUGAAUUGCUCGACUAAGCGGCGCUGGAAUACCUCAAUUUGAACCUCAAAUAUGAACCCUAACUCGGAAUAGAUUUCAAUGAGCAUGGACUAAAUCGAAAGUAAAAUCGGGGUUUGCUUAACUGCUCUCUAUAGUCGUAGCUCCGGCGAGCUCCGAUUACCAAAAACGAAGAAGGAAUACGGCUGUGAUGCAUUUUUUGGUGAACCCGUCGCUGGUACAGUAACCAAGCCAUGAAAACUUGUGUUCCCUCAGCCCCGUGUUACUCUCCACUCUCUCGAUCUCAACUCUCUCUUCUCGAUCUCCCUGUUUUGGUUCCAAAUUUUCCUUCAAGCAGUCCUUAAUUCUUUAUUUUCUUUUAAACCUUUUGAUAUCUCCGGCCAAACCACUUGAUCUCUCCUCUCACGUCAUUCUCCUGUCAUCUCUCUCUCUCUCUCUAUUUGUGUAUUAUGCGAGUAUGGUUGAGUGAUGAUGAAAAUGGAGGAGGGUGCAUGUAUGACUGUUGCUUGAGGAUGAGUAUGAAUUGUUUUCUAUUUUGUGGUCUAUAAUAUUUCUGUUUGUGUGUUGAGUGAUCUUGAAAAAGAUAAAAAGAAAGCAAUGGAGUGUGUUUGUUCUAUUUUUUUUUGGUGAGGAUCCACUGAAUUGUGAGUAUGUGUGUGAAUUGUGAGUGAAGGUCCCCUCCUUUUUGUCUUGUGUUGGUGUUUAUGUGAAUGAUUUUUUUUUUUUAGAGCAAAAGUAUUUUCCAGUGGGUUCUCUUUUUGCUU
rnacentral:lncRNA from 1 species